UGACCUCAAAUCAGGUAGGACUACCCGCUGAACUUAAGCAUAUCAAUAAGCGGAGGAAAAGAAACUAACAAGGAUUCCCCUAGUAACUGCGAGUGAAGCGGGAAAAGCUCAAAUUUAAAAUCUGGCAGUCUUUGGCUGUCCGAGUUGUAAUCUAGAGAAGUAUUAUCCGCGCUGGACCGUGUACAAGUCUCCUGGAAUGGGGCGUCAUAGAGGGUGAGAAUCCCGUCUUUGACACGGACUGCCAGGGCUUUGUGAUGUGCUCUCAAAGAGUCGAGUUGUUUGGGAAUGCAGCUCAAAAUGGGUGGUAAAUUCCAUCUAAAGCUAAAUAUUGGCGAGAGACCGAUAGCGAACAAGUACCGUGAGGGAAAGAUGAAAAGAACUUUGGAAAGAGAGUUAAACAGUACGUGAAAUUGCUGAAAGGGAAACGCUUGAAGUCAGUCGCGUUGGCUAGGGAUCAACCUUGCUUUUUUGCUUGGCUUACUUUCUGGUCGAUGGGUCAGCAUCAAUUUUGACUGAUGGAAAAAGUUCAAGGGAAUGUGGCAUCUUCGGAUGUGUUAUAGCCUUUGUUCGCAUACAUUGGUUGGGAUUGAGGAACUCAGCACGCCGCAAGGCCGGGUUUUUUU
rnacentral:rRNA from 1 species